CUUCCCAAAGUCUCGUCCCGUCGUCAACGGGCCCGAACCCACCCGUGAAGGAGCCAUGGAAGGAGGGAUCGCCGCCGACACCCGCCUGCCGACACCGACCCUCGGCCGGCCGUCUUCCUCCUUUCGGCUCCGGACUCAGAGCCUCAACACCCUGCGCCUCCGCCGCAUCUUCGAUCUCUUCGACCAGAACGGCGACGGGGAGAUCACCAUCGAGGAGCUCGCACUCGCCCUCGACCGCCUCGGCCUCGGCGCCGACGCCGACGCCGACGAUCUCAGAUCCACCGUCGCCGCCUACAUCCCCACCGGCCGCGCCGGCCUGGCCUUCGAGGACUUCGAUGCCCUCCACCGAGCACUCGGCGACGCGCUCUUCGGCGGCCCCGCUGCCAUGGAGGAAGAAAUGGAAGGGGAGGAGGGGACGGUGGAGGAAGACAUGAGGGAGGCAUUCCGGGUGUUCGACGAGGACGGGGACGGCUUCAUCUCGGCGGCGGAGCUCCAGGCGGUGCUCGCCAAGCUGGGGCUACCGGAGGGGCGGAGCAUCGCCCGGGUCCAAGAGAUGAUCUGCUCCGUC
rnacentral:lncRNA from 1 species